UAGCACCACGUGAAAUCAGCGU
rnacentral:miRNA from 1 species